rnacentral:rRNA from 1 species
AGUGAACGCUGGCGGUAGGCCUAACACAUGCCAGUCGAACGGCAGCACAGUAAGAGCUUGCUCUUACGGGUGGCGAGUGGCGGACGGGUGAGGAAUACAUCGGAAUCUACUUUUUCGUGGGGGAUAACGUAGGGAAACUUACGCUAAUACCGCAUACGACCUACGGGUGAAAGCAGGGGAUCUUCGGACCUUGCGCGAUUGAAUGAGCCGAUGUCGGAUUAGCUAGUUGGCGGGGUAAAGGCCCACCAAGACGACGAUCCGUAGCUGGUCUGAGAGGAUGAUCAGCCACACUGGAACUGAGACACGGUCCAGACUCCUACGGGAGGCAGCAGUGGGGAAUAUUGGACAAUGGGCGCAAGCCUGAUCCAGCCAUACCGCGUGGGUGAAGAAGGCCUUCGGGUUGUAAAGCCCUUUUGUUGGGAAAGAAAAGCAGCAGGUUAAUACCCCGCUGUUCUGACGGUACCCAAAGAAUAAGCACCGGCUAACUUCGUG